GUCCUAGCCCUAAACGAUGGAUGCUUGGUGUAGCGGGUACCCAAUCCCACUGUGCCGGAGCUAACGCGUUAAGCAUCCCGCAGUGGGGAGUACGGUCGCAAGGCUAGAAACUACAAAAGGAAUUGGACGGGGGCCCCGCACAAGCGGUGGAGCAUGUGGUUCAAUUCGACGCAACGCGAAGUAACCUUACCUGGGCUCGAAGCGCAGUGGAUAGGAGUGGAAACCUCUUUCCCGCAAGGGCUGCUGCGUAGGUGCUGCAUGGCUGUCGU
rnacentral:rRNA from 1 species